rnacentral:misc_RNA from 1 species
AAGUCGUAACAAGGUUUCCGUAGGUGAACCUGCGGAAGGAUCAUUAACACGUAUCUCACGUUUAUAAACCCAAUGUGAACUCGUAUAGUCGCUUGAUGUGACGGGGAGCAUUUGAUCUUCGGGAUCAAGAGUCGAACACAAAAUGGUAGAGAGAAGCUUUUGGGUUUCUCUGUUUGACUUUCACUUUGACACACGCUUAGUCGAGCGGCGCUUUUUGUUUUUUCCCUACCAUUUUAACCCCCUUAUAUUACUAACCCCUUUUACCUUUUAUUGGUACUAAACUUUACUAGCUAUUUGAUUUUUUUUUCUUUCACGAGAGGAAAAAAUUAAAUAACUAAUAUUACGAAAACAAAGAACAACUCUUAGCAACGGAUAUCUUGGUUCUC